rnacentral:rRNA from 1 species
AUUGAACGCUGGCGGCAUGCUUUACACAUGCAAGUCGAACGGUAACAGGCCGCAAGGUGCUGACGAGUGGCGAACGGGUGAGUAAUGCAUCGGAACGUGCCCAGUCGUGGGGGAUAACUGCUCGAAAGAGCAGCUAAUACCGCAUACGAUCUAUGGAUGAAAGCGGGGGACCGUAAGGCCUCGCGCGAUUGGAGCGGCCGAUGUCAGAUUAGGUAGUUGGUGGGGUAAAGGCUCACCAAGCCAACGAUCUGUAGCUGGUCUGAGAGGACGACCAGCCACACUGGGACUGAGACAUGGCCCAGACUCCUACGGGAGGCAGCAGUGGGGAAUUUUGGACAAUGGGGGCAACCCUGAUCCAGCAAUGCCGCGUGCAGGAAGAAGGCCUUCGGGUUGUAAACUGCUUUUGUACGGAACGAAACGGUCUGGGUUAAUACCCUGGGCUAAUGACGGUACCGUAAGAAUAAGCACCGGCUAACUACGUGCCAGCAGCCGCAGUAAUAC